rnacentral:rRNA from 1 species
CAAUGUAUGCUUUGGAAACUGCUAGACUNGAGUGCAGAAGGGGAGAGUGGAAUUCCAUGUGUAGCGGUGAAAUGCGUAGAUAUAUGGAGGAACACCGGUGGCGAAAGCGGCUUUCUGGUCUGUCACUGACGCUGAGGCUNGAAAGCGUGGGUAGCGAACAGGAUUAGAUACCCUGGUAGUNCACGCCGUAAACGCUGAGUGCUAGGUGUUAGGUCCUUUCCGGGACUUAGUGCCGACGCUAACGCAUUAAGCACUCCGCCUGGGGAGUACGACCGCAAGGUUGAAACUCAAAGGAAUUGACGGGGGCCCGCACAAGCGGUGGAGCAUGUGGUUUAAUUCGAAGCAACGCGAAGAACCUUACCAGGUCUUGACAUCCCGAUGCCCGCUCUAGAGAUAGAGUUUUUCUUCGGAACAUCGGAGACAGGUGGUGCAUGGUUGUCGUCAGCUCGUGUCGUGAGAUGUUGGGUUAAGUCCCGCAACGAGCGCAGCCCUUAUUGUUAGUUGCCAUCAUUAAGUUGGGCACUCUAGCGAGACUGCCGGUAAUAAACCGGAGGAAGGUGGGGAUGACGUCAAAUCAUCAUGCCCCUUAUGACCUGGGCUACACACGUGCUACAAUGGUUGGUACAACGAGUCGCAAGCCGGUGACGGCAAGCUAAUCUCUGAAAGCCAAUCUCAGUUCGGAUUGUAGGCUGCAACUCGCCUACAUGAAGUCGGAAUCGCUAGUAAUCGCGGAUCAGCACGCCGCGGUGAAUACGUUCCCGGGCCUUGUACACACCGCCCGUCACACCACGAGAGUUUGUAACACCCAAAGUCGGUGAGGUAACCAUUUAUGGGGCCAGCCGCCUAAGGUGGGANGGAUG